rnacentral:sRNA from 1 species
ACCUGUCUGACAUGUCGGGACCCGUGCCAAGCAGGGCCAGAGUUUACACAGAUGUUAAUACACACAGACCUCGAGAAUACUGGGAUUACGAGUCACAUGUGGUGGAAUGGGGAAAUCAAGAUGACUACCAGCUGGUUCGAAAAUUAGGCCGAGGUAAAUACAGUGAAGUAUUUGAAGCCAUCAACAUCACAAAUAAUGAAAAAGUUGUUGUUAAAAUUCUCAAGGUGAGUACAAGAGAUAAUUUCAGAGGUAUUUGGAAUAUAGAUUUUUAAAAAUAGUUUUGAAGACUUUUUUAAAACAGCAUUUAAAAGGUUUUUGGUGCCAAAGCAAAUAAAUAAAAUUUUAUUGUAUCCUAUGAACUCAAUAGAACAAGUUCUGCUUAUUUGACAGAUCAGGAAACUGAAGCAAGAGAAGUGAUUUGAGUUGACUCAUAUAGCUAGGUUGUGGCAGAGUGAGGGAGCAAAGGUACAGUCUCUUCUCUCCCAGUUCUUGCCUAAUACUUAUUUCCUUUACUUUUCAUUAUAUAAUGAGGCUUUUGUUUUCAAUAAAUAAAUCAUU